UACGGAGGAUGCAAGCGUUAUCCGGAAUGAUUGGGCGUAAAGCGUCCGCAGGUGGCUGUGUAAGUCUGCUGUUAAAGAGUCUAGCUCAACUAGAUAAGAGCAGUGGAAACUACAUAGCUAGAGUACGUUCGGGGCAGAGGGAAUUCCUGGUGUAGCGGUGAAAUGCGUAGAGAUCAGGAAGAACACCGGUGGCGAAGGCGCUCUGCUAGGCCGUAACUGACACUGAGGGACGGAAGCUAGGGGAGCGAAUGGG
rnacentral:rRNA from 1 species